ACCUUGACCAAUGAGUCUCCUGACACAUGUAGCAACUGUCCACCCUAAGUGGAUAAACUCAGAGGCAACCACCUCCCCUAAUUUCAUAGAAAUGAUCAAGGGCUAAAAUGUUUCACCUGUAAUGGCAUGUUUAAUAGGCCUGCAAUCUCGAGAUUGCAUGAUUUCACAGCUGUUUGACUAGCUGUUCGAUGAUAUUCUAUAUAAACAACUAAAGUUUCGAGGACCAAAAUAAGCAAUCCCUCUCAGAUAACCUGUUAUUGCUCCUUUGUUCUCUGAUUUCUAACUUAAGCAUCGGAGGGUCCUUACUGGAUUGAAAUCUUCGGCUUGAACUUGUUUUACAGAUCGCUCCAGUAUCUUUGGGCAAGUUUCAGUCAUCCACCUUCCGACCUCCACAAGAAUGAGUAGCAAUAGAUAGAGGAAGGGUUAAUCUUCAUUAUGCCACCAAAGCAAGUAUCAUUCCCACUCUCCAAUGCCAACACCUCCCGUCAGGCAGAGAGCUAGGCCAACAACCAAGUGCAGCAACUGACAAUGGAGACUCCUCCGCCAACCUAGCUAGCACUGGUCACGAUGGAUUGUUCAACCUGCUCUUCUAGUAGAUCCAGAAUUUGAUGACCGCUGUUCAAGUAGUACAGACUAUUCUUGCACCUCCUACAAUGGUGCCAUAGCCUGCUCAGGCUACCCUUGCACCUCCUUCAGCCAUGCAGCUAGUGGUUUUUUCGAUGGUGCCGCUCAUGAUGGUGUCCCCAUCAAAUCUGACUCCGCACUCAGCCCCUCAAUCGCCACCAUAACCAGAGCCGCAUGUGCUUCCUCAGA
rnacentral:lncRNA from 1 species